rnacentral:rRNA from 1 species
GAUGAACGCUGGCGGCGUGCCUAAUACAUGCAAGUCGAGCGAACAGAUGAGGAGCUUGCUCCUCUGACGUUAGCGGCGGACGGGUGAGUAACACGUGGAUAACCUACCUAUAAGACUGGGAUAACUUCGGGAAACCGGAGCUAAUACCGGAUAAUAUAUUGAACCGCAUGGUUCAAUAGUGAAAGACGGUUUUGCUGUCCCUUAUAGAUGGCUCCGCGCCGCAUUAGCUAGUUGGUAAGGUAACGGCUUACCAAGGCAACGAUGCGUAGCCGACCUGAGAGGGUGAUCGGCCACACUGGAACUGAGACACGGUCCAGACUCCUACGGGAGGCAGCAGUAGGGAAUCUUCCGCAAUGGGCGAAAGCCUGACGGAGCAACGCCGCGUGAGUGAUGAAGGUCUUCGGAUCGUAAAACUCUGUUAUUAGGGAAGAACAAAUGUGUAAGUAACUAUGCACGUCUUGACGGUACCUAAUCAGAAAGCCACGGCUAACUACGUG